rnacentral:rRNA from 1 species
UACGGAGGGUGCAAACGUUGCUCGGAAUCAUUGGGCGUAAAGCGCACGUAGGCGGCCCAGCAAGUCGGGUGUGAAAGCCCUCGGCUUAACCGAGGAAGUGCAUUCGAAACUACUGAGCUUGAAUACUGGAGAGGAUCGCGGAAUUCCCGGUGUAGAGGUGAAAUUCGUAGAUAUCGGGAGGAGCACCGGUGGCGAAGGCGGCGACCUGGGUAGAUACUGACGCUGAGGUGCGAAAGCGUGGGGAGCAAACAGG